UCGAAGAAGGAGAACUUACGAGUAUUUAAUGAUCGGGACCGAGAUCAUUAGAACAGUUAACAAAAAAACGAACAAAAGAAUCUUCGCAUAAACGUUUUUUAUUCAAAAAAAAAAAAUGACAAAACUCAUAUUAAUUAUUACAAUUGUUGGAUUACUUGUAAUUGCAAUCCUGGAAAAUGUCCAAGGGGAUUCUUGUAAAACUGAAACUUCUAUAUGCUCUUGGUGGGUAAAAGGAUCCUGUUGCGGCAAACUCGUCUGUAAUCCGACAAAUGCCGUAUUGGGAACUUGUGAAAAAAUUUAUCAAACUGCAUACUUUUGAAUUAAUCGUUUAGAAAAAUAUAAUGUACUUAAAAUUGACUAUAUAUAUAUAUAUAUAUAUAUAUAUAUAUAUAUAUAUAUAUAUAUAUAUAUAUAUAUAUAUAUAUAUAUAUAUAUAUAUAUGUAUUUUAAAAUGAAAAAUAAUAUACUUGUAAAAUGAUUAAAUAAAUAAAAUAUUAUUUAUAAGUUUAUAUAAGGAUAUAAGAAGUAGUAUGAGUAAGUAGAAGUGGAUCUAUAAGUGGAAUAAAAUAAAAAUAAAAAAGUUUACGUAACGAAAGCAGAAGAGAAUGAUCGUAAAAAUAAGUUGCGGGCAUAGCAAUAAAAAGCGAGAAAGAGGUGAACCGUACUGGCAACUACGUGCCGAACAAAAAACUAAUUAUACUAAAUGAAGCUAAAUUACAGGGCCAUAAGAGAGUGCCGCAUGAUUGAGGGCCUAAAUAAUAACGAUUAAAUUCAAUCCGGUAAUAAUACGACACCUUUAGUACAAGUAUUUAUUAAUAAAUAUAAAUAUCUAUGUAUAUCAAUUUUAAUUCCACUUGUAGCAAUUAUUUUUAAUUGUAAAUAUAUAUAACGUUUAUUUAUUUA